AAGACGCGCUCAGCAACGAUCGGUGGUCGACUCGGUCACCACGACAUCCAUCCGGAU
rnacentral:sRNA from 1 species